rnacentral:lncRNA from 15 species
AGCAUACUUCUCUUUGAAGCUCUUACCUGUCUCCCCUGCCAUCCCUUGUGUAUCUUUUAUUUGAGAUUGAUAAGACUGGUGUGUUAUUCUGAGUUGAUGUUUUGUGGAUAUCUUACAGCGUCUGUAUUUGGUACCACUCCUUUACCUACAAGUGCAUCUUCAAGAUCAAUCUCGACCGGGGCUCCAAAGUAGAGCGCCAGGAAAAGAAGAAGAGCAAUGCAGUGAACUCGAAAGUCCGGACCCUUAUCACCCGCAUUUCGGAGUUUGAGUGGAGUCUUUAAUGGAUCCAGAACUCAAGAGCCCCAGGACACUACCAUCAUGUUACCCAAAGUUUCUGAAUGUCAGUUCAUACUGUAUAUCAUAUGUAUUAUGUAUAAAGUUAUAUAUUAGAAUUCCAAUUUUUUUAUUGGUUUGUAGAAUUCUAUGUUAACACAGUAAACAAGAGAUGAUCUGUUUUCAAAAUGUUAACACAGCGCUCUUGAUGGCCAAAUGCAUUUGUAAUAAUGAUUAAAAUGUGCUAUAAAUAUGAAGUCCUGUCUAAUUUUUGAAGAAUUGUAAAGCAGAUUUGUCGAUAUCGUAGACACUGAAGUCAUUAAAGAAACCGUGGACCACAAAAGCUUAAACUCUGAACAUUGAUCGAGAUUGCCAUUUAUUUCCUGCCAGGGCAUGGUAAAACCAAAUACAAACUACAUUUUAAUUUAUAAUAAUAAUGCGUCAUUGGUUACGUGCCUGUGGCUGUCUAGAGUGGUGGUGAAGACAACAACUCCCAUAUUCCCAUGCUACUUCACAGAAAGAAAUCUAUAAAAUGAUAUAGAUCUUUUUGUAAAAAUAAUAAUUUUAAUGUCUUCGUACACUAAUUUACAAUAGAUUAAUUUUGGGUCUGUACAAAUGCUAUUUAUUACCCUUAAACCAGACAUGCUUUAUAACCUGCAGUUUUAAGGAAAAGGCUUUAAACAGCUGCUGAUUGCUGUACGUUUGCAUGCAUAUCUUCAUUAUCAUGAACAAAAAAAAUAUGUACAAUACCUCACAUAAUAUUAUUGUCAUCUUAAAUUAUGUUAAUACUAAUUACUCAUGAUUUUAAGGGUAAAACUUCCUAAUUCCUGCAGAAAAUUUCAGACACACAAGCAAAUCAACUUGGUUGUUG